CUUGCAAAAUAGACUUCUUGAAUUACCAUUUUCAGUUGAUGGAUUGAGAAAUGUGUUCAGUUGAUUCUUGUUGAUUUCCAUGAGAGUGAUCUCUAUGGAGGCUGCGCAUACAGAAAAAGAUGAUUUCUGUUUACCGAAUGUUUUUGUGUUAAAUGAACAAAACAAAAAAGUGUUAAACGUAAUAGAAAGCACCUGAAAAUCCAUUAUGUCAUGAUUCAUUUAAUUUGACCUCAAGGUCUUUGAACUCCUGCAGGAUAGUUGUAGCCUUUGAACUUGGAUGCGUAUACAAAUUAGCUGUCAUCCUUGGGAAAUGUAAGCAACCUGAAAGCUCAAUCUUUAAACUUAGAAAGUAUACAAAGCUGAGAUUUUACUCUUGAACCUUACAAAGAAAGCUUGACUUUCUAACAGUGACUUUUCUCCAAACACGUAUUCUGUGUCAUAUAAAGAAAACAUAUGUAACAUGUAUAUAAUUUAAUCAUUGCAAUGUUGUCUCUCAUGUUACAUGAAAAAAUCACUAAAAUAAAAUUCACAAAAAAAUGGUCAACUAUAAGAGCAUGCAUGUGCAGACUCAGUGAAUCAACCAAGCAGUAGGCCAAAAGAAAAUGAGGCAAGUUGAAG
rnacentral:lncRNA from 1 species